UACGUAGGGUGCAAGCGUUGUCCGGAAUCAUUGGGCGUAAAGCGCGUGUAGGCGGCUCGGUAAGUCCGCUCUGAAAGCCCGGGGCUCAACCCCGGGAGGCGGGUGGAUACUGCUGAGCUCGAGUCCGGAAGAGGAGUGUGGAAUUCCUGGUGUAGCGGUGAAAUGCGCAGAUAUCAGGAGGAACACCAAUGGCGAAGGCAGCUUCCUGGUCCAAUUCUGACGCUGAGGUGCGAAAGCGUGGGUAGCGAACGGG
rnacentral:rRNA from 1 species